rnacentral:misc_RNA from 1 species
UUUCCGUAGGUGAACCUGCGGAAGGAUCAUUAUUGGAUUUUGAAACUUCAGGUUGCUGCUGGCUCUCCUCGGAGGGCAUGUGCACGCUUGUUGUCCAUUAUUUCUCCCACUGUGCACAAAUUGUAGACCUUUCAGUAGGCCUAUGUUGUUUUUCACAAUCUCUGAAUGUAAUAGAAUGGUUUUGAAUCUUGGGAAAUACAAUACAACUUUCAGCAACGGAUCUCUUGGCUCUC